GACGAACGCUGGCGGCGUGCUUAACACAUGCAAGUCGAACGGAGAGGCCCUGCUUUUGUGGGGUGCUCGAGUGGCGAACGGGUGAGUAACACGUGAGUAACCUGCCCUUGACUUUGGGAUAACUUCAGGAAACUGGGGCUAAUACCGGAUAGGAGCUCCUGCUGCAGGGUGGGGGUUGGAAAGUUUCGGCGGUUGGGGAUGGACUCGCGGCUUAUCAGCUUGUUGGUGGGGUAGUGGCUUACCAAGGCUUUGACGGGUAGCCGGCCUGAGAGGGUGACCGGCCACAAUGGGACUGAGAGACGGCCCAGACUCCUACGGGAGGCAGCAGUGGGGAAUAUUGCACAAUGGGCGGAAGCCUGAUGCAGCAACGCCGCGUGCGGGAUGACGGCCUUCGGGUUGUAAACCGCUUUCGCCUGUGACGAAGCGUGAGUGACGGUAAUGGGUAAAGAAGCACCGGCUAACUACGUG
rnacentral:rRNA from 1 species